rnacentral:rRNA from 1 species
UACAGAGGUGGCAAGCGUUGUUCGGAAUUACUGGGCGUAAAGGGCGCGUAGGCGGCCUUCUAAGUCAGACGUGAAAUCCCCCGGCUUAACCUGGGAACUGCGUCUGAUACUGGAAGGCUUGAGUGCGGGAGAGGGAUGUGGAAUUCCAGGUGUAGUGGUGAAAUGCGUAGAUAUCUGGAGGAACACCGGUGGCGAAGGCGGCAUCCUGGACCGACACUGACGCUGAGGCGCGAAAGCUAGGGUAGCAAACGGG